UCAAAACAAACAAAAGCCUCCUUCUUGUAUUGCCAACAAAUCCUUCACUUAACCGCACCCCACUUUUUUUCUUUUGUCUCCAGGCCUUUAUUAAUCUGCGUGAUUUUCUCUUGGGAGUGGGCUACACAUAAACACAAUUCAGGGUGGGAGGGGACACCUUGGCCCAGGCUCUGGGGUGAUGCCUCCCCUGGGUGACUUGGAAAAAUUUCUGUCAGAUAAGGCUACUUACUGGUCCUGCUGUCGUCCAGAUGUCUGGACCCGUAUUGGGGUCGCAAUGCUGAGUAGGCAGUAAAGCUUCAAAAUUACCCACAGGAUUGAAAUGGAAGCUGUUUACAGUCCACUCCCAGCAUCCAGAGUGCCCUACCUGCCAAGCCUGGUUCUAGGGCCCUGGCGUCAGUGGCUCACUUGGUUCUGGAGACAUAAGCUGCGGUUCCUCUCUUACCAGAAGGUAGAGUCAGGAACACACGCACGCACGCACACACAUCCUAUGGAUGGAGUCACAGCCUUAACGUUCAAACCCAGGAGGUCUGCCCAGCUCAGGAGGUAGUCCCUGAGUCCUGUCUCAGGCAUUUCUGUCAGAUAGUGGUAUAGUAGGACUGGGAAACGACCUUUCUGCAAUGUCAUUCCUCUCCCAGGGGAUACAGGGAGACCAGAAAGCCCCAGUGACCCCCAAGGGUGAAGAUUCCUUUUGGCCUUCCCUUAAUGAUCCUUGGGCUGGGGUAUGUGCUUAAACAUACAGUGGAAUCUUCUGGAAUGUUCUGGAAGCUCCAGUCAGGAAUGAUGAAGGGCCUUCAGAUCAGAAUUUCAGAGGAGAAUCCUGGGACAGUGCAAAGCCCUGGCCUGAAGUGUAAGUCUCACUGGCCUAGCUGCCUGCCCCUAGGAGUCACUGCAGUCCCACUAGUCCCAGGUCACUGGUCCUUGUUGUCUUAGCUUAGCACUGGCUACCUACCCAUCCCUGUCUCUGCUAUUCCACGCCCUUUUGGCACGCAGUUCAGGCUGGCUUUGAACUCAGAUCACAUUGCCUUAGCUUCCUGAACGAUGGGGGUUACAGAUAUGCUAGCAUAGCUGGCACCACCCAAGCUUUGGGGUUCUCUCCUUUUGCCCAGUAGUGUGACUUUGAGGAAGAGCAGGUGCUCUGUCCCAGCUCCCCAUAAGGUGCCUUGCUGGAGAUCACCCCUUUUGACCUCUGAUUCACCUUUCACCCCAGGGUGAAGUUUUUCCAGGUGCUAGGUGCAGGUGGACACAGGUGUAUCUGGUGAGGGUUUGUGAAUUGAGAUCUGGGUGCCAGAGGAUUGGGGGUUGGGCCAGUCCUCCGCACUUCCUGGCUGCUACGAGGGGGCAGCUGGCUUAUCCUCUUGAGACCUCAAUUUCCUGCCAAUGUAGAGCUACGUGAGAUGACACAGAGGAAGCAUCAGUGUCCCCUACAUGCAGAGCCUUAUGAAGGAGACGGAACAGCGGUGCUGGUGUUGAGAUUCUCUGUGGGAAGAGGACACACUUAACCAUGGAGCCACCUCUCUAGUCCCUAGUUGGCAAUGUUCUUUAAGAAAGCAUGUGGCUGUUGGAUCCGGAGUUUGAAGACAGCGUGAACUAUAGCAAGUUCCAGGCCAGCCUGGGUUACACAGGAAAACCCUAAUAAAAACAGGACAAUUCCGAGUUUCAGUUUCAGAAUGUGUGCUGGGAGCACGGUAAAAAGCCUGGGUGAUGCUUAAUUUCUCAGAGAACGACUCACACCUUGCUUGGUGAUGUCAGUGUGCUGGGCCUAUGCAAGACUCCCCUGUCUCUCUGAAGGACCAGACAGAUGUAAGCCAUCUGACUUCCGCUCAGCUGCAGGCUUGAGGGAGACACAGCUGUUGCCUUCAUUCCAGGGGCCUGAAAAGACAACUCUCCCCAGCCUAGGUGUCUGCUGCUCCCACACCAGGCAGGGAAAGGCUGUGCCAGGCACUGGCACCUGAGGAAUCUUGGCUGGUGGGUGGAGUGCCUUCUUCAUGACCCUCCUUUGAAAUUCAUCCCCAGAUUUCAUCCCAGAGCCACUCCGUUCCAGAGCCCUCUGCCUGCCGCAUCUCUCUAUUAUACUUCAGGCCCAGUUACUUUGGGCACCCACAGGCGGAGCUGGGAGGUCAGAGGGUGCUUCGGGCCCUUAGCUCACAGCCUUCUUCCUCAGAGCAGAGAGGGAGGCAUGUAUUUCUGGAGUGAUGGAGGUGUGACUGCCAGGGGUCAGGAGGCAGACUGGUUAAAGUCUAUAAAACUGUGAAGAAGAGCCAAGCGAUGGCUCAGUGGUUCGGAGAAUCUGUUGCUCUUGCAGAUUCUUCUCAGCCCACAAUGGCUCUUAACUCCAGUGCAAGAGCUUCUGAGACCUUCUGGCCUCCGUGGGCAUCAGGCACACACGAGCACAUACACAGAUAUAGACAAAGCACUCAUAAACAUGACAUGAAAUAAAAACCAACAAACCCAGACAACCGUCUGAGGAAAUGGAGUCUAUUCUUGUAGGCUAGAUCAUACCACAUUCUUCUUUUAAAAGACAGGUCUCAUGUAGCCCAGGUUGGCCUCAGACUCACUAUGUAGCACAGGAUGACCUUCCUUGUGCUGAAUGGCAGGUGGUCAGCACAGCCUAUGGUUUCUGUGGUACUAAAGAUGGAGACCAGGGCUUUGUGCCCAUUAGGCAAGUGCUGUUCCCCAUGAGUUACAUCCUUGGGCCCGCAGCAUAUUCUUGUCUUUAAAUUGAUUUUUUUUUUUUAGAACUUUGUACAUGAGCGGUGUGACCGUAUUCUCACCUGCGAAUUUAUAAUCUUUAGCAAGGUUUACGGCAGUGGUUCCAACCUUCCUAAUGCUGUGACCCUUUAAUAGAGUUCUCUGUGUUGUAGUGACUCCCAACCCAAACUAAAAUUAU
rnacentral:sRNA from 1 species